rnacentral:rRNA from 1 species
GAUGAACGCUGGCGGCGUGCUUAACACAUGCAAGUCGAACGGUGAAAGCGGAGCUUGCUCCGCUGGAUCAGUGGCGAACGGGUGAGUAACACGUGGGCAACCUGCCCCUCACUUCGGGAUAACUCCGGGAAACCAGGGCUAAUACCGGAUAUGACCUCCUUGGGCAUCCUUGGAGGUGGAAAGUUUUUCGGUGAGGGAUGGGCCCGCGGCCUAUCAGCUUGUUGGUGAGGUAGUGGCUCACCAAGGCGACGACGGGUAGGCGGCCUGAGAGGGCGACCGGCCACACUGGGACUGAGACACGGCCCAGACUCCUACGGGAGGCAGCAGUGGGGAAUAUUGCACAAUGGGCGCAAGCCUGAUGCAGCAACGCCGCGUGAGGGAUGACGGCCUUCGGGUUGUAAACCUCUUUUAGCAGGGAAGAAGCGAAAGUGACGGUACCUGCAGAAAAAGCACCGGCUAACUACGUGCCAGCCGCCGCCGUAA